CUCUGAGGUCUGGGACAUUUGGUACAGCAUUCAGCCGAAUCAUCAGCCCAUGUAGAUUGUUCUAAACCAUUAGUGCAUUAUGUUCCAAACCGAUCAGGGGAGCAUAUUUCCCGAUGCUUCUUGUAUCUUUCAAGCUCAACACUGCCAGGUAUACUGAGAAGCCAAUGAGGUUAUAUAAUUGCUGUGUUGAGCUUGGUUCAUCACACCUUACCAGAGGCUGAGCUGCUGGUGCUACUUACUCCAAGGAGGCCUGAUCUGCCCUGCAACCCGGUGGUCUCUCAGCUGACAGACUUCAGAACUUGCCUUCUCAUACAAAAGGGGUAUCAAUGGGGCAGAGCUUCUUUCCUGAUAAUCGGGGCCUACGUGUGGCUCAGGUCUGCCUGCUUGCGUUCUGUAUUUUGCUUUGCCUCAAGCCUGGAGGUAAGAAAUCCCCCAACUCCUUUUUGAGUUCUGUCACAUGUUAGCUGUGUGCGUCGGUGGAGAUUCAGCAGGGACAAUUUCUGAAAGGCGAGCGUGGUCCCUGCACUCAGAAUGUUUGGGCAGCUGCUAGGGCUACAUCAGAAUCCAGUUCUGCUGAGAGCAGUAUGCCCUCUUUUUCUUUUUAAAUCUCUUGUCCAUCGUCAGGGAGAGGAGCACAACCCACCACCAUCCUUUUGAUCUCCUCAGUGCCUUCUUGAGAUAGUCUUUCCCCAAAGCAGAGGUUUCCUGGCUUUUUGGGUCCACGGCUCCCUUGACCAACUACAUUCUUUCUGUGGCUCCCCUGUGAGGAAAUGCGCUCCAAGCCUCAGGAGCCUAGUUAUGCCACCCCUUGGCUGCAGAGCCCACAGCCCUUCACCCCUUUUUGAAGACCCUCCCUUGUGGAGUGUUUCUGCAGCCUCCUCUCUUCUCCCCUCUCCUUAUGAGUCCUCCGGGCAGCCGCCCCCCAUCACUGGGCCACCCCUAUCGCAAAGAGUGUUGCCUCCUCACUUGUCUGUCCAUUCCCAACAAACAGGACUAGUGGACUGGCUGGCUGGGCUCCCUCAGACACUUGCUUGCUUACUCCGAGGCCGCCUCAGCUCCUGGCAACCAGCACCCCAUGGUCAGCCCCAGAGGCACCAUACACCUGGGGAGCUUGUAGCCAGGGCUGCUGCAAAAUAUAGCCUUUGGGAGGCAGAGAUUCAAGAGGGCAUCAGAAGAGGGAGGGAAGGAAAGAGGGAUGGAGGCUAGUGUUGCCCACAGCUCGCCCCCCAACCAUCAUUCAAGGCACCCCAAAGGUGCCAUGACACACUGGUUGAAAACCACUGAACUAGAGUGAUUCCACAUUGGAGGGAGCUUCUGGUGACAGGCUCUUUCAGCAGAAGAAUGGAUGUCACUCUGGGGAACAGCUGGGGUUUAACCACCACUAUGCUUUGCAGUGCAGCAGCUGCCCAUUGGGAAAGAGAACUGUUAGAAAGGGGAGAAGUGUUAGGAUUAGCAGGGCCCGUGUGCAAGACUCAAGCUUUGCAGCCCUUGGCUCAUCCUUUAACAAAGCCCCUGAUUUAAUGAGUUUUAAAGUAAGGGCAGUGCUUGCAGGGAGAAACAAACAAAAACAAACAAACAAACAAACAAACAUGUCUGUCUUUUACAGUGGAUGCUCUGACAUGCAGACAAUGCUUUUCAUAUCAUUACGAAACGCCAUGCGAUGUGAGUACGGACACGUGUAUCGGAGACAUUUGUACGUUUUGGGAAGUAUUUUCAGGUAAUGAGUCUGUCCCAUUUACAGUCUUCCUUUGCAUAUGCUGGACUAGAAUGACAGGAUGUAGAGGAGGGUCACAGCCUCCUGACUUUUCAGUGGUUGUAAGCGCUCAAUAGGAGCCACAUUGGAUCAGACCAAAGAUCCAUCAAAGAUGUGGAGUAAACUUUAUCCUUUUAAAUGUAUUCACUUUUGCUAUGGGCAAAUUCAGUAACAUUCUCUUCAUACCAUACACAAUGGUAAAUUCAGUAACAUUCUCUUCAUACCAUACACAAAUACUUCUCUUUCUCUCUCCAAUAGAAAAUGAUGACUUGAUUAAAUACUCCAGAUCAUGCAUCUACAAUUACUCGAAAGACAGUUGUGGACAGGAAAUUUUCCUCGGAAAUAACCGAUAUAAAACAACAUGCUGUUAUACUGACCUCUGUAAUGAUGAAUAAAAUUGAACUCCUCUUGAAAUAAAAAUUGUCCAGUCUAAAAA